UACGUAGGGUGCGCGCGUUGUCCGGAAUUAUUGGGCGUAAAGAGCUUGUAGGCGGUUUGUCGCGUCUGCUGUGAAAAUCCGGGGCUCAACCCCGGACUUGCAGUGGGUACGGGCAGACUAGAGUGUGGUAGGGGAGACUGGAAUUCCUGGUGUAGCGGUGAAAUGCGCAGAUAUCAGGAGGAACACCGAUGGCGAAGGCAGGUCUCUGGGCCACUACUGACGCUGAGAAGCGAAAGCAUGGGGAGCGAACAGG
rnacentral:rRNA from 1 species